rnacentral:rRNA from 1 species
UACGGAGGGGGCUAGCGUUGUUCGGAAUUACUGGGCGUAAAGCGCACGUAGGCGGACCAUCAAGUUGGGGGUGAAAUCCCGGGGCUCAACCCCGGAACUGCCUCCAAAACUGCUGGUCUGGAGGUCGAGAGAGGUGAGUGGAAUUCCGAGUGUAGAGGUGAAAUUCGUAGAUAUUCGGAGGAACACCAGUGGCGAAGGCGGCUCACUGGCCCGGUACUGACGCUGAGGUGCGAAAGCGUGGGGAGCAAACAGG